AUUGAACGCUGGCGGAAUGCUUUACACAUGCAAGUCGAACGGCAGCACGGGUGCUUGCACCUGGUGGCGAGUGGCGAACGGGUGAGUAAUACAUCGGAACGUGCCCAGUCGUGGGGGAUAACACAGCGAAAGCUGUGCUAAUACCGCAUACGUCCUGAGGGAGAAAGCGGGGGGACCGUAAGGCCUCGCGCGAUUGGAGCGGCCGAUGUCUGAUUAGCUAGUUGGUGAGGUAAAGGCUCACCAAGGCGACGAUCAGUAGCUGGUCUGAGAGGAUGAUCAGCCACACUGGAACUGAGACACGGUCCAGACUCCUACGGGAGGCAGCAGUGGGGAAUUUUGGACAAUGGGCGAAAGCCUGAUCCAGCCAUUCCGCGUGAGUGAAGAAGGCCUGUGU
rnacentral:rRNA from 1 species